rnacentral:rRNA from 1 species
GACGGGUGAGGAAUGCGUCGGAAUCUGCCCAGUUGUGGGGGAUAACUAGCCGAAAGGUUAGCUAAUACCGCAUACGACCGAGAGGUGAAAGCGGGGGACUCGUAAGGGCCUGGCGCUUGAAGAGGGGCCCGCGCCCGAUUAGCUAGUUGGUGGGGUAAUGGCUCACCAAGGCAACGAUCGGUAGCCGGCCUGAGAGGGCGGUCGGCCACACUGGAACUGAGACACGGUCCAGACUCCUACGGGAGGCAGCAGUGGGGAAUUGUUCGCAAUGGGCGCAAGCCUGACGACGCAACGCCGCGUGGAGGAUGAAGGUCUUCGGAUUGUAAACUCCUGUUGAUCGGGACGAAUGGCCUUCGGGUUAAUACCCCGGAGGAUUGACGGUACCGGUUGAGGAAGCCCCGGCUAACUCUGUGCCAGCAGCCGCGGUAAUACAGAGGGGGCAAGCGUUGUUCGGAAUUACUGGGCGUAAAGGGCGCGUAGGCGGCCACCUAAGUCGGACGUGAAAUCCCUCGGCUCAACCGAGGAACUGCGUCUGAUACUGGGCGGCUUGAGUUCGGGAGAGGGAUGUGGAAUUCCAGGUGUAGCGGUGAAAUGCGUAGAUAUCUGGAGGAACAUCUGUGGCGAAAGCGGCAUCCUGGACCGACACUGACGCUGAGGCGCGAAAGCCAGGGGAGCAAACGGGAUUAGAUACCCCGGUAGUCCUGGCCCUAAACGAUGAAUGCUUGUGUGGCGGGUAUCGAUCCCUGCCGUGCCGAAGCUAACGCAUUAAGCAUUCGCCUGGGAGUACGUCGCAAGGCUGAAACUCAAAGGAAUUGACGGGGCCGCACAAGCGUG